rnacentral:rRNA from 1 species
AUCUUGAAGAUUAAGCCAUGCAUGCUAAGUAUGAACUGGUUUUAAGGUGAAACUGCGUACGGCUCAUUACAUCAGCUAUAACUUUCUUUGAUCAUAAAUUCUAAAUGGAAUAACCGAGGAAAAGCCUGGGCUAAUACAUGCGACAAUUCCGGUAGUAAUAUCGGAAUGCUUUUAUUAGAUCAAAACCUUCUAGUUCUUUAACCGGAACUGUUUGUUGGUGACUCUAAAUAACUUUUGUGUUGAUCGUAUGACCUUUGUGUCGACGACAUAUCUUUCAAGUGUCUGACUUAUCAACUUUAGACGGUACAUUAUAUGUCUACCGUGGUUGUAACGAGUACAGAGAAUCAGGGUUUGGUUCUGGAGAGGCCGCCUGAGAAAACGGCGACCACUUCCAAGGAAGGCAGCAGGCG